CUAGUGUAGUAAAUACAUAAACCAGUAACACAGUCAUUUAUCAUCAUUAUCAAGUAUUAUGUACCGUAAAUAAUUGUAUGUACUAUGCUUUUCCACAGCUGGCAGUACAGUGGGUUUGUUUACACCAGCAUCACUGAGUAAUGUGUUGCACUAUGACGGUGACAAUGUUACUGGAUGAUAGAAUUUGUUAGCCCCAUCAUAAUCUUAUGGAACCACCAUCAUAAAUGAGGCCAGUGGCUUAUGUGGAACAUUACUGUAUUUGGUCUUUGUCCCCAGGUUCCUGGCACAGACUUCCUAAAACACUGGAAUCUCGUGAAGAUUUUAACUGUCAAUCAAAAGGGAGAUACGGAAGAAGUAUAGAGCAGAUAACACUGUGAAAGAAUUGACGCAAACAAGCCCAGUGUGGCGGCUCAUGUCUGUAAUAUGUUCUUCCGAAACAAAUUCUGUCAACUCCAUCACAAAUGAGUCUGUGGAAGAACCAAUGCUGAAAGCAUCUCAGUAAACAAAUAUGGCCCAAUAAACUCAAGUUUCUAAUGGGCAGGCAUAUAGGGGAUGGCGAGAAGGCACAUAAUAGAGCUCAAACGAAAGCAAAAAGCAAAUGACAGAAGUCUAUAGGAACAGGCAUAGAAAGUGAAAGCUCAGCAUAUGCAGAAGUUUGUAAACAAUGCAAAGGAAAACUAACGAGAAAAUUAUAGGGAUGUUGAGAGGCUGAAGAGGCAAGAAGCAAUAGGCCCACUGGGUGAAGUUAAGCUGUAAGAGAGAGAAAACAGGUCUAGUCCAAUCCUAUUUUUAGCUUUAGCAAAGAGAAUAGGCAAAAAAUUAAAAAGGAUGACAUAUCCAUGGCUAAGAAGAAAGUGAAAUCCAGGAUGAAGUCUCUAGUCCUGUCAAAGCAACCCUCUGAGUUGCAGUACCAUUACCAGUAAUCUCAAAAGAAUCACUGAGAAAGAAAAUUGGAAGUAGGAAAAAAAAAAAA
rnacentral:lncRNA from 1 species